AUGUUGGAGCAAAUCAAGGAAAAAUUGCACAGGGCACAAAACAGAAUGAAGCACUAUGCUGAUAUGAAAAGAGUGGAAAAAACAUUUGAGGUGGGAGACUUGGUUUAUCUGAAAAUGGCACCAUACAGACUGGCUGCUUUUGGGUUCAAAGGAGCUCUUAAACUCCAAAACAAAUACUAUGGUCCAUUCAUGAUUAGUCAGAAAGUGGGCAAAUCCGCAUACAAGUUACAAUUCUCUGGUGAAGUCAAGAACUCAAGAUACAUCCAGUGUUCCAUAUUGGACCAAAGUCUAUUCCUAGCCCUCAUCUUCCAAUGGUCAAUGAAGAUGGCACUAUAA
rnacentral:rRNA from 1 species